GUCCCCAUUGCAUAACUGGAUAAUGCAAUCCCCUCCUAAGGGAUAGCUCCUGGUUCGAGUCCAGGUGGGGACACCA
rnacentral:tRNA from 1 species